rnacentral:rRNA from 1 species
GCUAUACAUGCAAGUCGAGCGGACAGAUGGGAGCUUGCUCCCUGAUGUUAGCGGCGGACGGGUGAGUAACACGUGGGUAACCUGCCUGUAAGACUGGGAUAACUCCGGGAAACCGGGGCUAAUACCGGAUGGUUGUUUGAACCGCAUGGUUCAGACAUAAAAGGUGGCUUCGGCUACCACUUACAGAUGGACCCGCGGCGCAUUAGCUAGUUGGUGAGGUAACGGCUCACCAAGGCAACGAUGCGUAGCCGACCUGAGAGGGUGAUCGGCCACACUGGGACUGAGACACGGCCCAGACUCCUACGGGAGGCAGCAGUAGGGAAUCUUCCGCAAUGGACGAAAGUCUGACGGAGCAACGCCGCGUGAGUGAUGAAGGUUUUCGGAUCGUAAAGCUCUGUUGUUAGGGAAGAACAAGUGCCGUUCAAAUAGGGCGGCACCUUGACGGUACCUAACCAGAAAGCCACGGCUAACUACGUGCCAGCAGCCGCGGUAAUACGUAGGUGGCAAGCGUUGUCCGGAAUUAUUGGGCGUAAAGGGCUCGCAGGCGGUUUCUUAAGUCUGAUGUGAAAGCCCCCGGCUCAACCGGGGAGGGUCAUUGGAAACUGGGGAACUUGAGUGCAGAAGAGGAGAGUGGAAUUCCACGUGUAGCGGUGAAAUGCGUAGAGAUGUGGAGGAACACCAGUGGCGAAGGCGACUCUCUGGUCUGUAACUGACGCUGAGGAGCGAAAGCGUGAGGAGCGAACAGGAUUAGAUACCCUGGUAGUCCACGCCGUAAACGAUGAGUGCUAAGUGUUAG